rnacentral:lncRNA from 1 species
GUCAGGGCCCUUUUUAGUUGUCAACGGCCCUGACCUUGUCAAUAACAUUGAGUUUGUAAAGAGUCUGUAAAUGUUGUGUCGGGCAAGACUUCGACAUAGGAUUUUCCUUAUUUUGGAUGGGCAUUGCAUGUAAAUUGGCAUCCGGUUGGCUACCCGCGGGUUCACUUGUGCUACACAUCCAAGGGGACAUAGGUUUCGCUAACGAUGGCCGCUUAUGCGACGGAUUGAGCUGGACGCGUGUCGGACAUGGGUCGGCGGCCUAUUUUUCCAUGGAUGUGCGGAGUGGGAAAACGUACCCCUCGGUGAGCACCUUUGUACCCCCGGGGUGCCAAAUGGGUGGAUGCUAAUAUAGGGUAGUACGGGAAGGUUAGGUGAGACGUAUUAAGUGAGCCCGCUUCGCUAAAAGCGUAGUGUCUUGGUGAUCAUUUUGCCCUCACCGGCCAUGCCCGACCAAGUCGAGUCUUGUGCCUUUCGCUUGUAGUCCAACUUUUCGUUAUCAAUAAAAUACUCGUUGUUUGUGCCAAUUUGCAGGAUCCCUUUACGUGCUUUCUCUCGAUUCUCGGUCGUUGCCAAUUUGCGAAGUUGCGCCUCGGGACGGUUUUGCUUGGCUGGCUCGUUUUGUGCAGGUGACAGACGAGCGCCGCGCGGGCUUUUCGACAAAAAGUCAUUAGACCCGUGACAAGUGGUAUCAGAGCCCGGAUCGACGGAGACGACAUGGGCCGGAGCAGAGCCCCUGUCGCAGAGACAAGCACGGUGGCGCAACCAUCAACAGCACAGCUCGCGGCGCUGGCAGAUAACGAAGGACAAGGCGAAUCAGAUAGGCACAAGAGCAAUCGCGAGAGACUCGUCGACUUGGAGGCCCAGCUUACUCGACUUGACGAGAAAGUGACAAAGGCGUCUACGCAUGAGCAACGGAUCGCCAUGCUUGAGGCGACGCUCACUCAACUCGUCGAGUCAGUGACUGAGCUGCAGGAUAACACGAAGGAGGCGGUCCAUCACUUGAAGGAGCAGACCAUCGAAUUGUUUGCACGUGUCGGACUGCUGACAAGGGCCAUGGGCAAUGCUCCUCCCGCACCCCAAGGUGGCGGGCACGCGGGGCGUGUUCGAGUGCCGGAACCGCGGAGCUUUCGUGGAGCUCGUGAUGCGAAAGAGCUCGAGAACUUUCUAUUCGACAUGGAACAGUACUUCCGUGUCGUCCAACCCGACACUGAGGAGUCGAAGGUCACGUUUGCGACGAUGUACCUCGACGGAGAUGCCAAGCUAUGGUGGAGGACCCGAUACGAGGACAUUCAGGAAGGUCGCUGUACCAUCGACACUUGGGAGGACCUAAAGAAGGAGUUAAAGGCUCAGUUUCUUCCUGAAAAUGUCGAGUUUAUCGCGCGACGGAAUUUGCGACGACUCCAGCAGACGGGGUCCAUUCGAGAGUAUGUCAAGCAAUUCUCCGCGUUGAUGCUGGAUAUCCGAGAUAUGUCCGAGAAAGACAAACUCUUUCAUUUUCUCGAAGGACUGAAACCUUGGGCGCAGGCGGAACUGCGUCGCCAGAACAUCAAGGACUUAGCUGCGGCCCAGGGAGCGGCUGAGCGGCUGACCGACUACUCGCCGCCGGAGCACCCCAAGAAGAAACCCGUGGGCAACAACCCCAAAACCCACAACCAGAAGGCAAAGGGUAAGGGACUGACAUCCACGGAGCGAAAAGGGGUAGGGUCCAAGAGUCCGAAGAAUUUCAAGAGCCCUGAAGAGGGUUGCUUCCUUUGUGGGGGUCCACACUUUGUCAGAGCGUGCCCUCAGAGGAAGUCCCUCAAUGCAGUGCAGACGAAGGAACCCGAAUCCGACGAAGAGGAAGAGGCAGCUGAGACAGGAAGCAUCCGGAUGGGGGCACUCCGGUUGCUCAAUGCACUCAAAGGUCAAGUGGGGGAGAAGAAGAAGACCCCGCUGCCGAGGGAGAGUAAACAUAGUGAGCUGAUGUAUGUGGACAUCAAGCUCAAUGGAAAGACAACAAGGGCAAUGGUGGAUACAGGUGCUACCCACAACUUCAUUGCGACUGGUGAAGCUGAACGUCUUGGACUUGCACUGAGCAAGGAUGGGAGUCGCAUGAAAGCAGUAAAUUCGAAGGCCCAACCUAUCGCGGGUCUUGCGAAGGAGGUACCUGUCAGCAUCGGCUCGUGGACAGGUAAAGCCAAUUUCAUGUCGGUGCCGCUGGAUGAUUUCCAAGUCAUCCUCGGGAUGGAGUUUCUUCAGACGGCUAGAGGAGUACCCAUGCCAUUCUUGGAUGCCCUCUGCAUGAUGGGUGACGAUUCUCCAUGUGUCGUUCCGGUAGUGCGGAAGACAACGGAUGCCCGACAGAUUUCAGCGCUCCAGCUCAAGAAGGGCGUGAAGAGGGGCGAGCUGACUUAUGUAGCGGCGUUGAAGUUGGAGACUGGGAGUGGGGACGAGACCCCGACGCCACCUGUAGUGGCGAAACUCUUGAAGGAGUUCAAGGAUGUCAUGCCCCCAGAACUACCAAAAUCUUUACCUCCCCGACGAGCAGUAGACCACCGGAUCGAGCUCGAGCCUGGCACGAGGGCCCCGGCUCGCUCUCCCUACCGUAUGUCUCCUCCGGAGUUGGCAGAACUUCGGAAGCAACUAGAUGAGCUGCUUAAAGGCGGUCUUAUUCGCAGCUCGAAAGCACCGUUCGGAGCCCCUGUACUUUUCCAAAAGAAGCAUGAUGGCAGUCUGCGGCUAUGUGUGGAUUAUCGGGCUCUGAACAAGGCAACCAUCAAGAACAAGUACCCAAUCCCACUCAUUGCGGACUUGUUUGAUCAAUUGGGGAAGGCGCGGUACUUCUCCAAACUGGACUUGCGAUCAGGCUACUGGCAGGUCCGGAUUGCGGAAGGUGACGAGGCGAAGACAACAUGUGUCACAAGGUAUGGGGCGUUCGAAUUCUUGGUGAUGCCGUUUGGGCUUACGAAUGCCCCAGCUACGUUCUGUACCCUGAUGAACAACCUGUUUCACGACCAUCUAGACAAAUUUGUGGUGAUCUAUCUGGAUGACAUUGUCGUGUACAGCAAGACCUUGGAGGAGCAUGUUGAACACCUCCGCAUCGUCUUCCAGACAUUAAAGGAGCACUCCCUCUAUGUGAAGAAGGAGAAAUGUUACUUUGCUCAGAAGGAGAUCAUGUUCUUGGGCCAUCGAGUGGGUGGUGGCCUAAUUGGAAUGGAUGAGGAGAAAAUUCGUGCCAUAAAAGAGUGGAGAGCGCCGACAAGAGUAACGGAAUUACGCUCGUUCCUUGGACUUGUGAACUACUAUCGGCGCUUCAUUAGCAGCUACUCGCGGAGGGCUGCACCAUUGACGGACCUGCUACGAAAGGACCGGGCAUGGAGGUGGUCCGACGAGUGUCAGAAAGCCUUUGAUGACUUGAAGGCUGCGGUGAUGGAGGAGCCAGUACUACGUCUACCUGAUCACUCACUCCCGUUCGAAGUCCAUACAGACGCCUCGGAUUAUGCUAUUGGGGGGGUACUCGUCCAAGAUGGCCACCCUGUAGCCUUCGAGAGCCGAAAGCUGAAUGACACCGAGCGGCGGUACGCGACCCAUGAGAAGGAGAUGACAGCAGUGGUGCAUUGUCUCCGGGUAUGGAGGCACUAUCUCCUGGGAUCCCGAUUUGUGGUCAAGACAGACAACGUCGCUCUGAGUUACUUUCAGACUCAGAAGAUGCUCACUCCGAAACAGGCGAGAUGGCAAGACUUCCUAGCAGAGUUCGACAUGGUUUUGGAGUACAAGCCAGGACGAUGUAACCAAGUCGCUGACGCUCUCAGCAGAAAGGCCGAACUUGCCGCUCUUAAAACUCUGUCGAAUGAGAGGGCAAGUCAAGUACAAGCGACUUUGCAAGAGAGGAUUCGUGAAGGGUUGAGGAAGGAUCCCAUGACAGUGACUCUCAAGCAAUUGAUCGAUGAAGGCAAGGCGCAAAGAUUCUGGAUCCAGGAUGGCCUCAUCAAAACAAAGGGGGAUCGAGUGUACGUGCCGCGGGCGGGAAACUUGAGGAGAGAACUGCUCCAGGAGUGUCACGACACUCUGUGGGCAGGCCACCCGGGCGUACAUCGGACCCUGGCCCUUAUGGAGAGGGCCUAUUAUUGGCCGAAAAUGGGGGAGGACAUUGAAGAAUAUGUACGCACAUGUCUCACAUGCCAGCAAGACAAGGUGGAGCGAGAGAAGCCGUGUGGGCUGCUGAAGCCCUUACCAGCGCCGGAGCGGCCGUGGGAGAGCGUCUCCCUGGACUUCAUCUCCAGUCUGCCAAAGGUGGGGGAGUUCGGUUCGAUUCUCGUUAUAGUGGACCGAUUUUCGAAGUAUGCCACUUUCAUCCCCGCACCCAUAAGUUGUACUGCUGAGGAGACGGCGCGGCUAUUUUUGAAGCAUGUGGUGAAGUAUUGGGGAGUCCCACAGAACAUCAUCAGUGAUAGGGAUUCCCGCUUCCUCGGGCGGCUAUGGACAGAGCUCUUCAAGCUCUUGGGUUCCAAGCUAUACUUCUCCACCAGCCUACACCCCCAGACGGACGGCCAAACUGAAAGAAUAAAUGCUCUACUCGAGCAAUAUCUGCGGCACUUCGUAAGUGCCAACCAACGAGACUGGGUGAAGCUACUUGAUGUAGCCCAGUUCUCGUACAACCUGCAGCGGAGCUCUGCGACCAACAAAAGCCCCUUCGAGACCAUUACCGGCCAGCAACCUUCAACACCUCAUACCUUGGUCAUCGGGUACACCGGCAGCAGCCCCUCAGCUUACCACCUUGCCAAGGAGUGGCAUCGUAAUGCUGAGAUCGCCCGAGCCUACUUGGAGAAGGCGGCUAGAACGAUGAAGAAGUGGGCCGAUAAGGAUAGGCGGCCUCGAGACUACAGCAAAGGCCGUGCUGGUCAAGCUCCAACCAGCAUCCCUGAGAGUGUUCCGAAAGGUACACAAGGGUUUGGUCCGGAAGUAUGAAGGCCCCUUUCCUAUCGUGGGCAAGGUGGGAAAGGUCUCCUACCGCGUGCAGCUCCUGGCGUGGCUUAAAAUCCACCCGGUGUUCCAUACGAGCUGCCUGAAGCCCUACCAUGCCGACCGUGAAGAUCCCUCAAGGAACAGCUCGACUCGCCCCACCCCCACCAUUUUCUCAGUCGAGAGGCGAGUUGACAACAUUCUGGCGGACAGAGUGCGGAAGCUACCCAGUGGAGCAGCUGAAAGGGAGUUCCUUGUCCAGUGGAAGAACCUGCCGAAGGCUGAAGCCAGUUGGGAGCGUGAGGAUGCACUUCGGCAUGAAGAAGACAAGAUCAGGGAGUACCAGCAGAAGACCUUGACGGACACGUCGGGAUGAACAAAGCACGCAAGGUGGUACAAGCUGAAGACCUCGACGAGGGCGUCGAGGAAUCAAGUGGGGGAGUCUGUCAGGGCCCUUUUUAGUUGUCAACAGCCCUGACCUUGUCAAUAACAUUGAGUUUGUAAAGAGUCUGUAAAUGUUGUGUCGGGCAAGACUUCGACAUAGGAUUUUCCUUAUUUUGGAUGGGCAUUGCAUGUAAAUUGGCAUCCGGUUGGCUACCCGCGGGUUCACUUGUGCUACACAUCCAAGGGGACAUAGGUUUCGCUAACGAUAGCCGCUUAUGCGACGGAUUGAGCCGGACGCGUGUCGGACAUGGGUCGGCGGCCUAUUUUCCCAUGGAUGUGCGGAGUGGGAAAACGUACCCCUCGGUGAGCACCUUUGUACCCCCGGGGUGCCAAAUGGGUGGAUGCUAAUAUAGGGUAGUACGGGAAGGUUGGGUGAGACGUAUUAAGUGAGCCCGCUUCGCUAAAAGCGUAGUGUCUUGGUGAUCAUUUUGCCCUCACCGGCCAUGCCCGACCAAGUCGAGUCUUGUGCCUUUCGCUUGUAGUCCAACUUUUCGUUAUCAAUAAAAUACUCGUUGUUUGUGCCAAUUUGCAGGAUCCCUUUACGUGCUUUCUCUCGAUUCUCGGUCGUUGCCAAUUUGCGAAGUUGCGCCUUGGG